rnacentral:lncRNA from 1 species
ACAUAAACAAUAGAGCAGAGGAAGCAAUCAGAUAGGCAUUUGUUUCAGGUGAGCAAAGGGAUGACUUUCUUUCCCACAUCUGUGAAGAUCAGCUGUUGGUUUACAUUGCCAGGGUGAAAUUCAACAGAACUACUUUAGGGUGAAGAUCUUGAGGCCCACAAGGAAUUUCCUUGUGGGAAAAUUGUGAGGAAGAGCAAUCACUGCACCCAGCCACCUCCAUAUACAUGUACACAAAGUCACAUAGUUUACACAGUCACAAGUAUUUAAGUACAGACACACUAUUCACACACAAAUACAUAUAUAGACACACAUGUACAGUCCGUCCCAAAUAUAUGUACAUAAAAGCACACCAUUACACCUUCAUAUGUGCACACACACACACCCAGACUCACUUCAUACACACAUAGAUACAACAGCCACAGCUCACCAUCACCUACACACACAUACAUACACACACACACCUGGACACCCAGCUCUAAUAUAAUCAGAUAGAGAUAUGC